GCAUGCUUUAAUGGAAAAAUACUAAAAUGACAAACUCUAAUUGUGCACUGAUAGUAAAUUUGACCAGGGUUUUGUUGUUUUCAUAGCCCUGCCUCUCCAAAGGAAUUCAGGAGACACCCCCUUACCCCCUCUUCCAGCCUGCUCUAAAAACAGCAUGUUGUGCUUGGCAGCCUGGAGGGAGGAUGAGGGAUGCUUUCUGCUGAAAGAACUGACUGAUUCACCCUGUCUCUGAAAACCAUGUCCAGUUUUCAAUGUCCUAUCAAAGUCUAUAUUCCUACAGAAAUCAGUAUGCUGCCUCUGUAGUCUCGGUUGUGAAUUCCAUUGGAGCAUGCAUCCCCGUGAGGCAAAUCCCUCCUAACAAACCCUUCUAUGAAGCUUUGUCAGUGACUGCCAGCCUAAGAAAGAAGAAGAAGAUGAAAACGUUCCUUCCAAUAAUACGUGCAAACAAGCAAACAAAACCACUCAAGGCUGCUUUGAGAUUGAACUCUUGGAGCUACUUUAUGUAAAAUUUCCUGUUCAGUGUGUUUUGAAAUGAAUGUCCCAAUUCUUCAGGGUAUGAACCAUACUAUCUCUGUUCUAUUUGUAAUGUAAGCUGUAUAAAAUAUAUCCCAUUUUUGUAAAAGUUGGAAAAUAAUGUAAUAACUACCUGUAUCUAUCUACAUCUAUGUCUCUGCCUGAAAGCCCAAUAAAUACAACUGUUAUCAUAUCUACUGCCUUGUU
rnacentral:lncRNA from 1 species